UCUGUCUCAUUUUUGCAUCAUGUAGUUUUCACCUGGAAUGCUCUUUUUCUUUAUGUUCGUGGCCUUUCUGAAAAACAUACCACCUUCUUACUCCCACCCUGGAAAUCAAAAUGCCUCAUGGAUCUCCAAAAUAUCUACUUUUAAAUACCGAUUUUCAAAGAGGAGGCCCCAGAUGUCUUUGAAUCUUUGGAUGAGUUUCACCUUGGAAUAGCUCUGUGAAGGAAGUAUUUUCAAACAAUUGCUUUACAUGUCCGGAGCGGCUGCAAUCUUUUAUAAUGGUGAGACUGGCACCUCACGAUACAAAAUAUGCCUGCAAUAAACACUUCCAUCAAGAAGAAAGCACAGACUACCCACAGGAAAAGCGGAAGGAUGAAAUGCUCGAUCUGGUACGACGGUCUGCUCCGUGUAAGCCUCCAAAAGACGACCAGGCAAGCGAGCAAAAACGCGUUGGUGCUGAAACUCACUUCAAUAUCUCAAGAAGCGGUUAUUCCUGCGCUGAAUAGUGCCUAUUUGAAUGGAGUUGGCAGAAUGAAGCUUCCAAAGCGGAGUGCUCCUAGGCCGUGGAAACGCUUUGGAUGGAGCUUGCUGAAAAUUAAUCCUGCCCAGACAGAGCCCCGUUUGGCUCUUACACAGUCAGCAGGCCCAUGGCUCAUUUUAACAAAUGCUCAAGUCAUACACCAUCUAAGUCGCAAUCUUCGGUGAGGAAGAUGGAAAUGGAGCUUUAUGGGAAUCUCGUUGAUGUCAACUAAUAUUUUAACCUGGGAGCAUCAGCCCCCAGAGAAGACAAGGGAUCAUGAUUUCCCCUCCUCCGCUUCAUGGGCAUUUCCCUCAGUGGAGGCGCAGACACCACUGCUUUGCUACUGGUUUGACCCUGCCUGGUUCCAGCGUGGAAGCAGAACAGGAAGCGGCCUUCCAACUGCAUUCCCGUCUGGAUUUCUCUAGGCUACAUCUGAUAAGGUUCCGCAUCCAGGCUUGGAAGGACAGAGAGAUUGCCUCCACCAGAUCAAGCCACCUGAUUUGAACUGCUGUUUUUUUGAGAGAAAAAUCACUGAAAGGGAUGGUGGGGAUAGAGUAAAAUGAUCAAAAUACGUUUAGGAAAAUGAGUUGUAUACUCAACAUGAAGGCAUCCUCCAAUUAAGAUUGCUGAAAGCAGGAAACGAUUGAGAAAUGCAUGGCUUAAAAUGGCAGAUGCUUGAAGAGGAAACUGAUUCAGUUUCUGGGAGACAGGGUGCAUUUCCUUGCCGGAGGACUUCACCAAUCGUCGUCUUUCCGGACUUGCUGCAGCUUUUCUAAGGCCCCGCCACAGGUGAAAAACGUCAUGUCCUCUGAGAGUCAGAGUAUAGGCACCUCGUGAGAAACAAGCAUUUCACUUCUUUACUCUGUACUUCCCAAGUAUCCAGCUCUGGACCAGCAAGGAACCACAUCUAAGGACACAAUCUCACCUUCACAGUUGUUUUUUCAUCAUCAUCAUAUAUUAAUAAAUAAAUUUAUGGCUGGGAAGGUAAGGGGAUGAAUACAGGAAUAUCUUAUGGUGGAUUUACCAAAAAACACCUCCUCAUAUGUCUUCUCUCCCUUCUCUGUGUUGAGAACAAGAUUCACAUUUACACUUUAAAAAAAAUAGAGAUUUUUGGGAUUGUUUCAAAGUGUCAUUUGUUUUGGUCACUGCGUUGUAUAUUCAUUUCAUUUGGAUCAAAAUAUUUUCAUCAGCUAAAUUGAAAAAUGAAACAGAUGCGUGGGGCACUCAAUCUUACUGUUAUGGAAAGAAAUAAUAAAUAUUUUUUGAAAUCA